GGAGAGAAGUUGGAAAUUUUGAAGGGGUUAUUAUAUAAAUGAUCGUAUUCUUUUUUUUUUCUUCAUUUAAUUCAUUAAUUAAAAUGUGGGGUUGUGAGGAUUAGCAUUUGAAAAGUUAUCCUAAAUAUUUGAAGACGUGGGGCUGUUGGUUGGCCAUUUUCUCAAGGUUUGUAAUUAUCUUUUUUACACACUCAAGGUUUGUAAUUGUUAUUUGAUAAUUAAUUAUUAUUUUAUAAAUUUAUUGUGGAUAAUUAAUUUUAAAUAAAUAUAAGAAGUUAUUGGAAGAAAGUUAAUUUUUACUAAAUAACUAAUAAAGUUUAAUAAAUAUCAUAAAUUAUUACCACUAACUAGACAUCUUUUAUUUCAAUUAAUAAAAUAUUAGUACUUUUUAAAAAUAAUAAAUUUUAACAUUUUUUAUUCCUAAUAAAAUUCAACUAACUUUUUUUUUACUUAUUUAGUAUAUUUUUUUUCUCUUUUUUCGCUAAAAUUAGGCAUAAUUUUCAGAAUUUUUUUUUAAAUAUCCAAAAAUUUAAAAAAAAAAUCAAAAAUACACCACUUUUCAAAAUAAUUACACAAAUGGCCAUUUUUGGCCAAAAUUAACACCUAGGCGCCACCCUAGUUGGCGCCUACCCUUAAUGGGUAGGGC
rnacentral:lncRNA from 1 species